rnacentral:rRNA from 1 species
UGGGUAACACUAACUGGAGGACCGAACCGACUAAUGUUGAAAAAUUAGCGGAUGACCUGUGGCUGGGGGUGAAAGGCCAAUCAAACCGGGAGAUAGCUGGUUCUCCCCGAAAGCUAUUUAGGUAGCGCCUCGUGAAUUCAUCUCCGGGGGUAGAGCACUGUUUCGGCUAGGGGGCCAUCCCGGCUUACCAACCCGAUGCAAACUGCGAAUACCGGAGAAUGUUAUCACGGGAGACACACGGCGGGUGCUAACGUCCGUCGUGAAGAGGGAAACAACCCAGACCGCCAGCUAAGGUCCCAAAGUCAUGGUUAAGUGGGAAACGAUGUGGGAAGGCCCAGACAGCCAGGAUGUUGGCUUAGAAGCAGCCAUCAUUUAAAGAAAGCGUAAUAGCUCACUGGUCGAGUCGGCCUGCGCGGAAGAUGUAACGGGGCUAAACCAUGCACCGAAGCUGCGGCAGCGACACUGUGUGUUGUUGGGUAGGGGAGCGUUCUGUAAGCCUGUGAAGGUGUGUCGUGAGGCAUGCUGGAGGUAUCAGAAGUGCGAAUGCUGACAUAAGUAACGAUAAAGCGGGUGAAAAGCCCGCUCGCCGGAAGACCAAGGGUUCCUGUCCAACGUUAAUCGGGGCAGGGUGAGUCGACCCCUAAGGCGAGGCCGAAAGGCGUAGUCGAUGGGAAACGGGUUAAUAUUCCCGUACUUGGUGUUACUGCGAAGGGGGGACGGAGAAGGCUAUGUUGGCCGGG